GCGAUUCUAUGUCCAAUUUCCCCUCUAUUUAUGUGUUUUCCUAUAGCACAAGAGGUGUUGUGUGUUAUGCCUUAAUAAGCAAAUACUGUUUUGUUCUCAGUAUUCUGAUGUAGGCCAAAAUGGUGAACAUUUAAACAUCAGCCCAAAUUAAUAAAACUGAGAAGUUCUACUUUCAGUAAACGGGUGAACCUAGAUGCAACAAAGCUCUGCCAUUAGCCAUGGGGAUUAUCAAUUCAUGUGUAUUGCAUUCUUUUUGUCCGUUAAUGUAUUUUCUUGUUUGUCAGGUCGUGUGCAAGUUUGUCAUCAGUUCAUGUGUAUGUGUGUUGGUAAUCACUACUAUUGCUGCUAGCUAUCGAUCUGACUGUGGUAUUACUGCGGCUGCUCUAUGUAAUUAGCCCUUUUGUUGGGUGAAACUCCUACAGCUUGCUAGCUUUGAAAUUGUGAAAACACAACAAGUUCACAAAUUAAAAGUUGUAAGUUCAACACGACGUCCCUGAUAAGUUUUGGGAAAAAGCUCAAACAAAAAGAAACCCCCUGGAAAUUCAAAUGGUAAAAGUUCAAGUCGUAGAAUGAGAGAAGUCCAGAACAUCGUUGAAAAAAAAUUUAAGAGUUAAAAAAAAGAAACACACAAAACAUUUUUCUUUUCAAAAAAUUUCAUUCAGUUCAACGAUGUAAAACCAUGCAAGCUCGGGGAUGAUGAUAACAUAAACCAUUGAAAGUUACGAGGAAAACGAUGCCGAAAAAACAGAGUAAAGUCUAGUCUGUGAAGACACGCUCAGUACAAAGCCAUACGGACAUCAAUUCAAGUAAUCUCUUUCCAGAACCAUCGAAAAUUACUCAAUGGAAAAUAAAUCAAUACGGACACACACAU
rnacentral:lncRNA from 1 species